rnacentral:rRNA from 1 species
UACGGGGGGGAGCAAGCGUUGUUCGGAUUUACUGGGCGUAAAGGGCGCGUAGGCGGCGUAACAAGUCACUUGUGAAAUCUCCGGGCUUAACUCGGAGCGGUCAAGUGAUACUGUUGUGCUAGAGUGCGGAAGGGGCUACUGGAAUUCGUCGGUGUAGCGGUGAAAUGCGUAGAUAUCGAGAGGAACACCUGCGGCGAAGGCGGGUAGCGCUGGGCCGACACUGACGUGAAGCGCGGAAAGCUAGGGGAGCGAACGGG